GGGAGCCGUAUGACGCGAGAGUGUCACGUACGGUUCUGCGAGCGGCUGCGGGGGCAGUUCCCGCGGCCGACUCACC
rfam:Pseudomonas balearica DSM 6083 genome assembly, contig: Ga0056079_114